rnacentral:lncRNA from 10 species
GUCCAAGGUGUGGGUAGGGGUGGUUUUUCCUGAGGCCCCUCUCCUUGGUUUGCAGAUGCUGUCUUCUCCCUGUGUUUUCACAUGGUCUUCUCUGUGUGUGUACAAAAAAUACAAAAUUUAGCCAGGCAUGGUGGUGUUUGUCUGUAGCCCCAGAUACUCAGAAGGCUGAGGUGGGAGGAACUUCUGAGCCCAGGGAGGUAGUGGCUGCAAUGAACUGUGAUCAUGCCACUGCACACCAAUCUGGGUGACAGAGUGAGACCCUGUCUCAGGGAAAAAAAAAUAAAUAAAUAAGAAUAUCAGAAGAAGAAUGAACAGAAGAAAUAUUUGGAUUAAUAAUGAGAAUUUCCAAAAAUCAGUGCCAGAA